CUUACUUCCAGAAUCACUCCCACUUAGUGGGCUCAGGACUCAGAGAGAUGAGUUCAGAGUCCAGUUCUGCCCUAGCUGUGAGCUUUGGGCAAUGUCCCGGACUCCUGACGCCAAGUCGGUGAUGGAGAUCCCCCUUCAGAACCAGGCAGACCAAAGCCUCUGAAGGCCUCCAGGUUGAGAGUGAUCGAUUUAAGAUCCGUGAACAGUGGCCGAACGGGGUUCCACGCACGUCGCAGAAGGAAACAAUUCGCUUUCACAGACCCAGUGGAGAGAUAUUUCCUCUUGGCGAAGGAGAAAACGGGAAGGUCUUUGGAGAGGUCAACCAUGAAGGCACCAAGGAGGCAGCGUGUUUGCAGGAGAGUCCUGUGCACACCCCCUUCUCUUCACCACCUGUACCACUUGUCAGCAGGAAAUGAAGCUUCUCAAUUCUGAUGUCCUCCAGGCUGUAGUUCCUGAACGUGGAGAAGCUUCCUUUGGACUGUAAUGGGUAAGCCACAUCCAGUGACAUCAGCAAGGGAACCACAGGGACCCUACGUCAAUGUUGAUCCUGAAUGUCCUUUCUGGCCCAUUCAGAUGACGUUAUCGGAGCUGCUUCCAAGAAUCCUUUGCUUUCACAUCUAACACCUCUGGUUACUCAAA